CAACAAACCAACCAACCAACAACCAACCUCUUCUACUACUACUUUCACCACUGCUAUAAUAAGACUGCCACUACUGCCACUACUGCCCUUAUCCUGCUGCCACCACAUGAUUACUACGACUACUGAAUGAAUGACACAAUACAGCCCUCUGCCAUGGUCCAGUGUCCACAAGCUAUAGUCAAUAGUAUUGUGUGGUCUAGACAUUGUGGAACAUUGAGGGCAUUGGCAAUGUCUGUGCAAGCUGAUGACAGGCUCAGUCGAUAUGGAUUGAUGACAAAGCUAUCCUCAUGUUUGACAUGUUAAGCAGGCAUGCAUGAAGGACGGUAAUACCACGUGAGUGACAGGGACACAGACCAUUGUGACUGACGGGACCUGCCAGUUUACUCUUAUAGAUCUAUUUGUGUGGCAACAUUAGUGGUUCUCAGGGGAGGUGCGUUCACGCUCUUGGGAGGGGGUGGUUAGUUGAGCAGGUAUAGUCACAUGGGGGUAGUUGGUGAGGUGCGUUCACGCUCUUGGGAGGAGGUGGUUAGUUGAGCAGGUAUGGUCACAUGGGGGUAGUUGGUGAGGUGCAUUCAUGCUCUUGGGAGGAGGUGGUUAGUUGAGCAGGUAUGGUCACAUGGGGGUAGUUGGUGAGGUGCGUUCACGCUCUUGGGAGGAGGUGGUUAGUUGAGCAGGUAUUGUCACAUGGGGGUAGUUGGUGAGGUGCGUUCACACUCUUGGGAGGAGGUGGUUAGUUGAGCAGGUAUAGUCACAUGGGGGUAGUUGUUGAGCUGCGUUCACGCUCUUGGGAGGAGGCGGUUAGUUGAGCAGGUAUAGUCACAUGGGGGUAGUUGGUGAGGUUAGUUGAGCAGGUAUAGUCACAUGGGGGUAGUUGGUGAGGUGUGUACACGCUCUUGGGAGGAGGUGGUUAGUUGAGCAGGUAUUGUCACAUGGGGGUAGUUGGUGAGGUGCGUACACGCUCUUGGGAGGAGGUGGUUAGUUGAGCAGGUAUAGUCACAUGGGGGUAGUUGGUGAGGUGCGUUCACGCUCUUGGGAGGAGGUGGUUAGUUGAGCAGGUAUAGUCACAUGGGGGUAGUUGGUGAGGUGCGUUCAUGCUCUUGGGAGGAGGUGGUUGGUUGAGCAGGUAUAGUCACAUGGGGGUAGUUGGUGAGGUGCGUUCACGCUCUUGAGAGGAGGCGGUUAGUUGAGCAGGUAUAGUCACAUGGGGAUAGUUGGUGAGGUGCAUUCACGCUCUUAUGAAGAGGUGGUUAGUUGAGCAGGUAUAGUCACAAGGGGGUAGUUGGUGAGGUGUGUUCAUGCUCUUGGGAGGAGGUGGUUAGUUGAGCAGGUAUUGUCACAUGGGGGUAGUUGGUGAGGUUAGUUGAGCAGGUAUAGUCACAUGGGGGUAGUUGGUGAGGUGCGUUCACGCUCUUGGGAGGAGGUGGUUAGUUGAGCAGGUAUAGUCACAUGGGGGUAGUUGUUGAGCUGCGUUCACGCUCUUGGGAGGAGGCGGUUAGUUGAGCAGGUAUAGUCACAAGGGGGUAGUUGGUGAGGAGUGUUCACGCUCUUGGGAGGAGGUGGUUAGUUGAGCAGGUAUUGUCACAUGGGGGUAGUUGGUGAGGUUAGUUGAGCAGGUAUAGUCACAUGGGGGUAGUUGGUGAGGUGCGUUCACGAUCUUGGGAGGAGGUGGUUAGUUGAGCAGGUAUGGUCACAUGGGUGUAUUUGGUGAGGUGCGUUCACGCUCUUGGGAGGAGGUGGUUAGUUGAGCAGGUAUGGUCACAUGAGGGUAGUUGGUGAGGUGCGUUCACGCUCUUGGAAGGAGGUGGUUAGUUGAGCAGGUAUAGUCACAUGAGGGUAGUUGGUGAGGUGCGUUCACGCUCUUGGGAGGAGGUGGUUAGUUGAGCAGGUAUUGUCACAUGGGGGUAGUUGGUGAGGUGUGUACACGCUCUUGGGAGGAGGUGGUUAGUUGAGCAGGUAUGGUCACAUGGGGGUAGUUGGUGAGGUGCGUUCACGCUCUUGGGAGGAUGCGGUUAGUUGAGCAGGUAUAGUCACAUGGGGGUAGUUGGUGAGGUGCAUUCACGCUCUUAUGAAGAGGCGGUUAGUUAAGCAGGUAUAGUCACAAGGGGGUGCGUUGAUGCUUUUGGGAGGAUGCGGUUAGUUGAGCAGGUAUAGUCACAUGGGGGUAGUUGGUGAGGUGCUUACACGCUCUUGGGAGGAGGCGGUUAGUUGAGCAGGUAUAGUCACAUGGGGAUAGUU